AUCGAACGCUGGCGGCAUGCCUUACACAUGCAAGUCGAACGGCAGCACGGGAGCAAUCCUGGUGGCGAGUGGCGAACGGGUGAGUAAUAUAUCGGAACGUGCCCAGUAAUGGGGGAUAGCCCGGCGAAAGCCGGAUUAAUACCGCAUACGACCUACGGGUGAAAGCAGGGGAUCGCAAGACCUUGCGUUAUUGGAGCGGCCGAUAUCAGAUUAGCUAGUUGGUGGGGUAAAGGCCUACCAAGGCGACGAUCUGUAGCUGGUCUGAGAGGACGACAAGCCACACUGGGACUGAGACACGGCCCAGACUCCUACGGGAGGCAGCAGUGGGGAAUUUUGGACAAUGGGCGCAAGCCUGAUCCAGCCAUGCCGCGUGCGGGAAGAAGGCCUUCGGGUUGUAAACCGCUUUUGUCAGGGAAGAAACGCUCUGGGCUAAUACCCUGGGGUAAUGACGGUACCUGAAGAAUAAGCACCGGCUAACUACGUGCCAGCCGCCGCGGUAAUAC
rnacentral:rRNA from 1 species